rnacentral:rRNA from 1 species
GAUGAACGCUGGCGGCGUGCCUAAUACAUGCAAGUCGAGCGAACGGACGAGAAGCUUGCUUUUCUGAUGUUAGCGGCGGACGGGUGAGUAACACGUGGAUAACCUACCUAUAAGACUGGGAUAACUUCGGGAAACCGGAGCUAAUACCGGAUAAUAUUUUGAACCGCAUGGUUCAAAAGUGAAAGACGGUCUUGCUGUCACUUAUAGAUGGAUCCGCGCUGCAUUAGCUAGUUGGUAAGGUAACGGCUCACCAAGGCAACGAUGCAUAGCCGACCUGAGAGGGUGAUCGGCCACACUGGAACUGAGACACGGUCCAGACUCCUACGGGAGGCGGCAGUAGGGAAUCUUCCGCAAUGGGCGAAAGCCUGACGGAGCAACGCCGCGUGAGUGAUGAAGGUCUUCGGAUCGUAAAACUCUGUUAUUAGGGAAGAACAUAUGUGUAAGUAACUGUGCACAUCUUGACGGUACCUAAUCAGAAAGCCACGGCUAACUACGUG